GGUUACACACCUUUGCACAUAGCAGCUCUCCAUUCCCACUUAGACAUCAUGGAUCUUCUAAUCCAUAACUAUGGUGCAAAAACAAAUGUAAGGGACUAUAGUGGACGGUUUGCAUCCCACUAUCUAAAAGACAAUGAUGACCCUACAGAUCGCUCUAACGUCUCUUCAAAAUUUCAGCAGUCUCGGGGAGAGCGACGGAACCGGAAGCUUGCUGAACUCUUCCUGCCAAAGAGUUAUGGAAGCAGUAAAAAGAAUUGGGGUUCAGUAGAGAACCUGACAACAGAUGACAAAGAUGGCUCCAUAUUCCUGUCUAUACCAACAUCAUACAAAGCUGUUCGCAAGUUCUCCAGAUAGGACACUUAAAUAAGCAAGAAAUCGUGAUUUGAAUAAGUUAGGAGACCUGUUACAGCCUUUUAUUUUAAACAAGCUGCAAAAUAUAUUGUGUAUUACAUUAGUAUCAACACUUAACAGCAGGUUAAAGUGCAGUUGUGUUUUAGGCAUCUAUUUUCCCACUAUUAUGUUGCUACACCAGGGGAAUCUUCCUUACUUAUUAUUUUAAACCAUUUUGUGUAGUUGGUUCACACUUGGUUCUCUAUUUCCUAUGCCUCUCAUUGCAAGUCUUGGAAUGGAAAACCCUGCUCUUGGCUUCAAAGGGCCACUUGUUUGAAAAUCACUGGGGGUUUGUACUUGCACUCUGUCUGGUUUUAAUGUUUCAUCUUUCAUUUGAGAUGUACGUGUUUGGAUCUCAUUUUGGGUACACAGUGGGUUUCAGUGCCCAUAAGGAUAAUCAUCCAUGUAACAAACAGCCUCGUAAAGUAAAGCAGUAACAUCCCAACUAAUGUUGGUGUGGCUGUUAUAAGAGGGAUAGGUGUUGACUCCAUCCUUCCAUCUGCUAUGCACAAGGCUCUCAGUGGCUCAGCUGUGAGCAUAUAGUAUUGCCUUUCUUUGACUAUUGUGAUUUGGCUUCAUUGUGGAGAUUUCCAGUGCAAACACACUCUGUGUUUAUUACAUUUGUGCCACAAGACCAUGGUCAUUUGGGGACGUACUAGAAAGAUACUUGCAUGCAUGGGAAAAUACCCUGAGUAAAAUCAGGGACUCUGGGAAGUGAAGUUAUCUGAAGUAAAAUCUGGAAGAAAAAAUAACACAUUCAUUUUGUUGCACUCAAGAUGCAAACAUUUGUAGCUCUUUCUAUAGAAAGUUGUAGUUAUCCAGAUCAGGGUAAAUGGCCCUAAAUGACAGUACGAUAAGAGGGUUUAAUUUGCAAGAGACCAUUUUAAUUGAAUGCAAUGUGUUUAAGCUUUUGCAUCAGUUAACCAUAAAAUAAACUUGCCAGGGGGUUGAGAGAAACCAUCCCAUUCUAGGACAUCCAUAGUUUUCCUAAGCAACCCUGCAAUAGCAAAUGAUCUUAACGCAUUUCUCUUGUAUAGCAAUAAAUAUCACCUAUGAUGUACCUGCUUUUGCUUCUACAGUCAUGCUAAGGCUAUGAGUACUUGCAGCUGCUGGUUUCCUAUGAUUUACAGUGGGAAGACUGGGUUCAUGCUGCUUCCAGUAUGAUUAGCCUUAUUGAAGUCGCAUGAAUCUGCACCAUCUGUAGAGUAGCCAGGCUGUCUUAUUACUUGGCUUUGCUUCAGAUCAGGUUCUAAAAUCAAAUUGCAAUAAUUCUACAUGAAACUAUUUUUCAGUGGUAUGACGUCACAGAUUGUAUAACUGCAGCUUCAGAAUAACGAGGAAGAAACCUUAAUGCAUAACUCCUCUUCUAUCUUGCUUCAAUGAUCUAUUUUCCUUUACUUGUGCAGAAUUUAGGUAUGUCUGAGGACUUCAACUAUAUUGAUUAUUUAUUUGUUAGCUAUGACUCACUGCCACAGUAGUAAGAUUCCAGUAUUAUUACAGGUUUACAAUUAUACAAUAUCAACUAUAGAGAGGGGCUAGAGCAAGUUUAGGUUAAUGAGAAGUAUUGUUUCUUACAUUUAGUUCAAUGUACUGGAGAUUGAAAUACCUCUUAAAACCUUACCAUUGUAUUACACUGACCCAUGCUGACCAGAACAAUGUCGGUGUUUAUUGCCGCUUUUUAAUUAAUUAUUUUGUUCUAAAUAGGCAGUAAUGUGCAGAUAUGCUCAGCUGGGUUGGUCUAAAGUUCAAAUAAACUGCCAACCUAUGGGUCUUUUAUGGAAAAUACCCACAUAAGUAAAGUGCCAGAUGACUGAAGUAUUUUGUACCUUAUGACUAUGUGUGAGUUGCAACUUUUGAGAAUUAAUGGGUUAAUAGGAAAAUCGAACAAUAUGUGGUAUCUGGAUUAAUAUUAACCUAUAACUGAUUCAUAAAGCACUAAAUGGCAAGUUCAGCACAACAAAAUAAUGCCCUGAUUCUGCCAAAAUGUUUUCUUCUUCCAUGCAGUUACAGAACAUGUAGAGAUUAAUUAGUUCUGAGUUAAUUCAAAAUAUGCCUGAUUUUUGUAUUUGAUGAAUGUAUUCCUGAAGCAGUGCCUUGAAUGCUGAUAUGAUCUUUUUACAUGGGAGGGUGAUGUAGAAAAAAGUGUUUCUGCUUUAUCAUUUUCAAAUGAGUUGUGUGAACUAAACAACUAUCAGGAUUAUAUUAAAAAAAAGCAAUUUCUUGGCCAACAACCAACCUCCUAAGUCAAAGUGACAUCUUAAUUCAAUGUCAUUGUGCUUUGGAACCCUCAAGUGACCAAUGGGUGGUUGGAUUAGCCAAACUGAAAACUACCUUGUCUAAUUAAAAGUAAAAUAAAUAACAUUAACAGCAGGUGGGAAAUGUAAAAAACUGAAGUAAAAUCAUGCAUAUUGUUAUGCACAUCUGACAGCACUCUGAAGGAGACAGGAUAUAACAAUUUGUGGGAAGUAAACCUGGUCAACUGCAGGCUCUAAACUCUUUACUUAGCACUGUUUUCUUUAACGUUAAUAGCAGAGAUUUAUGUAAUUCUAGAUGGUCUCCAAAGACCUGAAAUGUGUACUCUAUUAUCAGUCUCCUAAAUCCUUUGGAGGACCUGGUGUAGAUUAAGCAGCUUCCAUGAUGAUUUUAUCCAGAGUUUGAAGCAUAUUAUGCCUUUACUGGGUAAAUUGUGUGAUGUGAAAGGUCAGAAAUGUUGUGUUCACAAAGUACCAACACCAGCACCUUGGGUGAGUAAAGCCUUGAUAAAUAUGAAUUAUGUAAUUAUGUUUUUUUUGAGUACCAAUGAUGGAAAUUACAAGAAGUUACUGCAGUUUUGAAUUCCUCAGAAUAAGGAUGUUGAAGCAAUAGUGAGAGUAUUGUGCAGUUUCACUAAAAUGCUGUCAGUAUGAGAAAAUACAAAAGGAAGGCAGCAUGGCAAAAUUAGGGUCACUUGUUAGAUCCAGAAUAUUUCGAUAAGUGUCUCAAAGUAUGAAUGAUGGGACAGAAUGAUUAGAAGCUGUUUCCAAAGGUUUGAAACAUGAAAUGACGAGGGCACAGCUGUCAAAUGAAAUGUGAUACCAAACUUUUUUUUACGCAGAGGUUAUAAGACUGCAUGUUCUCUGCCAGCAUUGUGAUUCCAGCAGGGAGCAAGCAGAUCAAUGAUUCAGAAUAGAUUUAAGUAUAGUUACAAUAAAGGCAGAUAAAGGAAUAUGAGAAUAGUUAAAGCACAUGGCAUUAAUACUACUGCUUAUGUGGCUAACAUGAAAAAGCAGACCAUUUUGGCAAACACCUAUUACUCUAUUGCGGUUUCUGUGUGAAAUUGGUUACUGAUGUACUAUUUCAAUCGCAGUUUAAAUUAUCCUGCAAUGAAUAUGUCAUCAAAUCAGUAUUAAGAGCAAAGUAAAGUAGUAUAUACAUAGGAGAAUAUAUUGGGUUUCAUGUUUCCUUAAUAAAUGCAAAUGGGAAGUCCACAGUGAACAAGCAGUCUGCUUCACCACAGGAUGAAAAUUUGCCUCAUUGACAGCACAUCUUUUAAACGUGGUGUAUAGUUUCCCAAUCUGUGUAAUUCUAAACUAUGAAUUCCAGUAUAGGAACACAACUGUCUUUCUGGAUAUAAUUGAAUACCAGAACUAUUUUGCAGAUAGAUGUUAAAUGGGGAUUGAAACUCUCACAAAAUUCAGUGGUGAAUACUGGGAAAUGCUGGUUAGGCAUCAUUCUGUGGUAAAUUGGUUGAAACCAGAGCUAUUGACGCAGAGGAAGCCCAUCAACUGGUUGUGUGUGUGCGCCAACUUCAGAAACAGGCAUUCAAUUAGUCCCAUUCUCCUUUUUUUUCCCAUUGCCUCCUUUUUCAAGUGUCUGUCCAUUUCUCUUUGAAAGCUAGUAUAGCAUGUGCUUCCAUCUUCUCAAGUAAUGUACAUAAAAACAUAGCUGCACAAAAUGUUAUUUAGAUCAUGUUUGUUAAUGGAAACCUAGUAAAUUAAACUGUUCAUUAAAUGAAGCUUUUGCUCAGGAGCUGGUUGAAAAGGUAAUGGCUGUACUAUUAAGUCUAUAGUUACUGCAAUUUGUCUUUCUCAACUGGUACUGUAUUGUUGAUUCCAAGCAGAGACCGACAUGGAUGUUCAAUGAGCCUCACAAGGCUGUGCUUUUCUCUUUUGUUCAUCUGGAUUUUAUGUUGGUGCAGCUCAAUUUACUUUUCAAACUCAAUAACUAAUUUACAGAGUUGUCUACAACUAAUCGUUAUACCUAUAAAUUGUGUUAUUAAUGUUGUCAAACAAAUAAAGUUAC